rnacentral:lncRNA from 1 species
AGCGUUGCAGGGCUGUUUGCAGUUCUGAAUGGCCAGAAUUGUCCCAUGUGCUGGCCGAAGUUCUGGUCCUGAAGCACGAUGUUUCUCAGCUGGCAAUCUAGGUCACCUGGAUGUUUGUAAGGCUUAUGUCAUUCUUUGCCAUGAACGCAGAAGACAUAAAAAGAUGUUUGUCUCUUUGUCUGUUCUGCAUUUAUCCUGGAAAAGAGAUUGGAGAACUCGCAAAAUUAUUCCUUCCAAUUUCUGACAUGAACUAUGAAGAAAGCUGUAUCUGCUCAAGAUCCCAUGCCGCAGAUUUAUGUAGCUGAAACUGCUGAAAACUCACUGCUAAAACAAAGAG